rnacentral:rRNA from 1 species
AUCGAACGCUGGCGGCGGGCUUAACACAUGCAAGUCGAACGGAAAGGCCCUACUUUUGUGGGGUGCUCGAAUGGCGAACGGGUGAGUAACACGUGAGUAACCUGCCCUUUACUUUGGGGUGACUUCAGGAAACUGGGGCUAAUAACGGAUAGGAACUUCUGCUGCCUGGUGGGGGUUGGAAAGUUUCGGCGGUUGGGGAUGGAUUCGCGCGGUAUCAGCUUGUUGGUGGGGUAAUGGCUUACCAAGGGUUUGACGGGUAGACGAACUGAGUGGGUGAGAGCCGACCUUGGAGGGUGACCACCGACAAUGGUACUGCGGGACGCACCAGUCGGCAACGUUACGCAGCGGUGGGAAGUAUGGCGCAGUGGGCGCACGCCUGUUGCGGCGACGCCGCGUGCGUGAAGAAGGCUUUCGGGUGGUAAACCGCUUUCGCCUGUGACGAAGCGUGAGUGACGGUAAUGGGUAAAGAAGCACCGGCUAACUACGUG